AAAGGAAUAGACGGGGGCCCGCACAAGCGGUGGAGUAUGUGGUUUAAUUCGACGCAACGCGAAGAACCUUACCAGGUCUUGACAUCUUCUGCCAGCUAUAGAAAUAUAGUGUUUCAUAUUCGUAUGGACGGAAAGACAGGUGGUGCAUGGUUGUCGUCAGCUCGUGUCGUGAGAUGUUGGGUUAAGUCCCGCAACGAGCGCAACCCCUGCCUUUAGUUGCCAUCACGUGAAGGUGGGCACUCUAAAGGGACUGCCGUUGACAAAACGGAGGAAGGUGGGGAUGACGUCAAAUCAUCAUGCCCUUUAUGAUCUGGGCUACACACGUACUACAAUGGCCGGUACAGACGGAUGCGAAGCCGCGAGGUGGAGCGAACCCGAGAAAGCCGGUCCCAGUUCGGAUUGCAGGCUGCAACCCGCCUGCAUGAAGUCGGAAUCGCUAGUAAUCGCAGGUCAGCAUACUGCGGUGAAUACGUUCCCGGGCCUUGUACACACCGCCCGU
rnacentral:rRNA from 1 species